rfam:Gossypium raimondii chromosome 8, whole genome shotgun sequence.
AUAAUGUGUUGAGGGCACUUCCGUAAUAAUUCUUUGUACCUUUCCCAUGCCUUAUACAAUGACUCAUCAUCCAUUUGUUGGAAAGCAGUGAUCUCGUUCCUCAACUU